rnacentral:rRNA from 1 species
CCUACGGGUGGCAGCAGUGAGGAAUAUUGGUCAAUGGGCGCGAGCCUGAACCAGCCAAGUAGCGUGAAGGAUGACUGCCCUCCGGGUUGUAAACUUCUUUUAUAAAGGAAUAAAGUGAGGCACGUGUGCCUUUUUGUACGUACUUUAUGAAUAAGGAUCGGCUAACUCCGUGCCAGCAGCCGCGGUAAUACGGAGGAUCCGGGCGUUAUCCGGAUUUAUUGGGUGUAAAGGGAGCGUAGAUGGGGUGUUAAGUCAGUGGUGAAAGUUUGCGGCUCAACCGUAAAAUUGCAAUUGAUACUGGCAGCCUGGAGUACAGUUGAGGUAGGCGGAAUUCGUGGUGUAGCGGUGAAAUGCGUAGAUAUCACGAAGAACUCCGAUUGCGAAGGCAGCCUGCUAAACUGCAACUGACGUUGAUGCUCGAAAGUGUGGGGAUCAAACAGGAUUAGAUACCCUGGUAGUC